rnacentral:rRNA from 1 species
CGGGUGGUAAUGCCGGAUGCUCCGACUCCUCGCAUGGGGUGUCGGGAAAGAUUCAUCGGUAUGGGAUGGGGUCGCGUCCUAUCAGGUAGUCGGCGGGGUAACGGCCCACCGAGCCUACGACGGGUAGCCGGCCUGAGAGGGCGACCGGCCACAUUGGGACUGAGAUACGGCCCAGACUCCUACGGGAGGCAGCAGUGGGGAAUAUUGCACAAUGGGCGCAAGCCUGAUGCAGCGACGCCGCGUGCGGGAUGACGGCCUUCGGGUUGUAAACCGCUUUUGAUCGGGAGCAAGCCUUCGGGUGAGUGUACCUUUCGAAUAAGCACCGGCUAACUACGUGCCAGCAGCCGCGGUAAUACGUAGGGUGCAAGCGUUAUCCGGAAUUAUUGGGCGUAAAGGGCUCGUAGGCGGUUCGUCGCGUCCGGUGUGAAAGUCCAUCGCUUAACGGUGGAUCUGCGCCGGGUACGGGCGGGCUGGAGUGCGGUAGGGGAGACUGGAAUUCCCGGUGUAACGGUGGAAUGUGUAGAUAUCGAAAAAAAAACACCA